UAUUGCACUACGAAGAUCGUGCGCCAGCGACAGACAUUUUCCUCUGGUUUGUGGACACUUCUGGUGCGCAACAUGUUCAAAUUCCGCAGAGAUAAGAUGGCGUAUCGCCAGGCGCAAAUGAAUGACAGUGAAUGGCCAGAGCUUCUGGGAAAGACGUGGCAAGAGUCUGAAGCCGUUAUUCGAAAACUCUACCCAAAUAUUUCUAUUCAGGUUGUGCCUGAGAACACGACAAUCAAGGUGGAUUACCAGCCAGAAAGGGUUAGACUCUGCAUUGAUGGAGAUGG